CCUACGGGAGGCAGCAGUGAGGAAUAUUGGUCAAUGGACGAGAGUCUGAACCAGCCAAGUCGCGUGAAGGAUGACUGCCCUAUGGGUUGUAAACUUCUUUUAUAUGGGAAUAAAACAGGGUAUGCAUACCCUCUUGUAUGUAACAUAUGAAUAAGGAUCGGCUAACUCCGUGCCAGCAGCCGCGGUAAUACGGAGGAACCGAGCGUUAUCCGGAUUUUUUGGGUUUAAAGGGAGCGUAGGUGGAUUGUUAAGUCAGUUGUGAAAGUUUGCGGCUCAACCGUAAAAUUGCAGUUGAAACUGGCAGUCUUGAGUACAGGAGAGGUGGGCGGAAUGCGUGGUGUAGCGGUGAAAUGCUUAGAUAUCACGAAGAACUCCGAUUGCGAAGGCAGCUCACUGGACUGCAACUGACACUGAUGCUCGAAAGUGUGGGGAUCAAACAGGAUUAGAUACCCUAGUAGUC
rnacentral:rRNA from 1 species